CCCGCUGAACUUAAGCAUAUCAAUAAGCGGAGGAAAAGAAACUAACAAGGAUUCCCCUAGUAACUGCGAGUGAAGAGGGAAAAGCUCAAAUUUGAAAUCUGGCGGUCUUUGGCUGUCCGAGUUGUAAUUUGCAGAGGAUGCUUUUGGCGAGGUGCCUUCCGAGUUCCCUGGAACGGGACGCCAUAGAGGGUGAGAGCCCCGUCUGGUUGGAUGCCGAGCCUCUGUAAAGCUCCUUCGACGAGUCGAGUAGUUUGGGAAUGCUGCUCUAAAUGGGAGGUAUAUGUCUUCUAAAGCUAAAUACCGGCCAGAGACCGAUAGCGCACAAGUAGAGUGAUCGAAAGAUGAAAAGCACUUUGAAAAGAGGGUUAAAUAGUACGUGAAAUUGUUGAAAGGGAAGCACUUAUGACCAGACUUGGACCCGGUGAAUCAUCCAGCGUUCUCGCUGGUGCACUUUGCCGGGCUCAGGCCAGCAUCAGUUUGCCCCGGGGGAUAAAGGCUUUGGGAAUGUGGCUCCCUCGGGAGUGUUAUAGCCCAUUGCACAAUACCCUGGGGCGGACUGAGGUUCGCGCAUCUGCAAGGAUGCUGGCGUAAUGGUCAUCAGUGACCCGUCUUGAAACACGG
rnacentral:rRNA from 1 species